AUUGAACGCUGGCGGCAGGCCUAACACAUGCAAGUCGAACGAUUGGCGGACGGGUGAGUAAUGUCUGGGAAACUGCCUGAUGGAGCGGGAUAACUGCUGGAAACGGUAGAUAAUACCGCAUACCCUCGGAUGUGCCCCGCUGGGGGUAGCUUGUUGGUGGGGUAAGGGCGCACCAAGGGGACGAGCCCUAGCUGGUCUGAGAGGAUGACCAGCCACACUGGAACGGAGACACGGUCCAGACUCCUACGGGAGGCAGCAGUGGGGAAUAUUGCACAAUGGGCGCAAGCCUGAUGCAGCCAUGCCGCGUGUAUGAAGAAGGCCUUCUGGUUGUAAAGUACUUUCAGCGGGGAGGCGUUACCCGCAGAAGAAGCACCGGCUAACUCCGUGCCAGCCGCCGCGGUAAUUC
rnacentral:rRNA from 1 species